rnacentral:lncRNA from 10 species
AGCUGGAGUGGACAGGACGGCUUUCGAGAUUUGGCGCGGCCUUUGUCUCUGGCUGCAGUCGUAGCUCCAGGUCUUUUCUUCUCUGUUCUGUGUCUUCUGCUCCUAGAGGCCCAGCUUCUGUGUCCCUGUGACCUGUAGGUUUGUGACAUAUCACUGAGCUCAGCACCUAGCUGAUGUGACCUUUUUCUUCCUAGGUUCUGCCUGCAAAGAAGAUUGUGACAUAUUGCUGGUUGCAACACCACGGUGAUGUUACUUUUUGCCUUCCCUGGGCCCUGCUCACAUGGGGCCUUGUGACAUA